UCCCUGGUAGUAUAUCGGUUAGUACACGCGCCUGUCAUCGGUAACGUGCACUCCGGCGCGCGAAAGCUGGGUUCGACUCCCAGCCAGGGAG